rnacentral:rRNA from 1 species
CCAAUAGCGUAUAUUAAAGUUGCUGCAGUUAAAAAGCUCGUAGUUGAAUUUCGGGAUCAAAGGAUCGGUCAUGCCUUGGUAUGUACUGGUUUUAUUGGUUCUCACCUUCUAAAGAACCAUAAUGUCAUUCAUUUGAUGUUAUGGGGAAUUAGAACUGUUACCUUGAAAAAAUUAGAGUGUUUAAAGCAGGCUUACGCUUGAAUACAUUAGCAUGGAAUAAUGAAAUAGGACGUUCGACCCUAUUUUGUUGGUUUCUAGGAUCGACGUAAUGAUUAAUAGGGAUAGUUGGGGGCAUUAGUAUUCAAUUGUCAGAGGUGAAAUUCUUGGAUUUAUUGAAGACUAACUACUGCGAAAGCAUUUGCCAAGGAUGUUUUCAUUAAUCAAGAACGAAAGUUAGGGGAUCGAAGACGAUCAGAUACCGUCGUAGUCUUAACCAUAAACUAUGCCGACUAGGGAUCGGAUGAUGUUAAUUUUUUAAUGACUCAUUCGGCGCCUUACG